rnacentral:lncRNA from 1 species
CUGUAUGAGAUGUGGUAUGUUUAGGAUAUUUGGCUCAUGUCAAGUGUUUACAUGUAGACCAAGUUAGAGGUUAGGUCUAUAAGACUCAUUUUAAGAUAUCCUAAAGGGUUUUGAAAAUACUAUUUUUCUUCCUAAGGAUCACAAUGUGAUUGUGACCCAACAUGCUAUGUUCUUGGAGAAACAGUUUGUCCAAGAGAAAAAUAGUAGAAGAAAAAUUAAAUUCAAAAGAGAGAGUCUCUUAAGAGCAAUGAGUCAUUGAACCUAUUGAUGUUGAACCCGUACA